GAUGGAAGAACGUAGCGAAAUGCGAUAAGUAAUGUGAAUUGCAGAAUUCAGUGAAUCAUCGAAUCUUUGAACGCACAUUGCGCCCCUUGGUAUUCCGAGGGGCAUGCCUGUUCGAGCGUCAUAUUAACCACUCCCGCUUGCGGGGUCUUGGGCUUCGCCUCCGGGCGGGCCUUAAAAUCAGUGGCGGUGCCGUCGGGCUCUACGCGUAGUAAAUUUUCUCGCGAUAGGGUCCCGGUGGAUGCUUGCCAACAACCCCCAACUUCUUAAGGUUGACCUCGGAUCAGGUAGGGAUACCCGCUGAACUUAAGCAUAUCAAUAAGCGGAGGA
rnacentral:misc_RNA from 1 species